GGGGGGCUAAACUGCAAGUCGAGCGAGCUUGCCCUAUGAUUUUAGUGCUUGCACUAAAUGAAACUAGAUACAAGCGAGCGGCGGACGGGUGAGUAACACGUGGGUAACCUGCCCAAGAGACUGGGAUAACACCUGGAAACAGAUGCUAAUACCGGAUAACAACACUAGACGCAUGUCUAGAGUUUGAAAGAUGGUUCUGCUAUCACUCUUGGAUGGACCUGCGGUGCAUUAGCUAGUUGGUAAGGUAACGGCUUACCAAGGCAAUGAUGCAUAGCCGAGUUGAGAGACUGAUCGGCCACAUUGGGACUGAGACACGGCCCAAACUCCUACGGGAGGCAGCAGUAGGGAAUCUUCCACAAUGGACGAAAGUCUGAUGGAGCAACGCCGCGUGAGUGAAGAAGGGUUUCGGCUCGUAAAGCUCUGUUGGUAGUGAAGAAAGAUAGAGGUAGUAACUGGCCUUUAUUUGACGGUAAUUACUUAGAAAGUCACGGCUAACUACGUGCCAGCAGCCGCGAUAAUACGUAGGUGGCAAGCGUUGUCCGGAUUUAUUGGGCGUAAAGCGAGUGCAGGCGGUUCAAUAAGUCUGAUGUGAAAGCCUUCGGCUCAACCGGAGAAUUGCAUCAGAAACUGUUGAACUUGAGUGCAGAAGAGGAGAGUGGAACUCCAUGUGUAGCGGUGGAAUGCGUAGAUAUAUGGAAGAACACCAGUGGCGAAGGCGGCUCUCUGGUCUGCAACUGACGCUGAGGCUCG
rnacentral:rRNA from 1 species